rnacentral:sRNA from 1 species
CACUUAUUUUGUUCAUUUCCUUAGUUUCUAGCCACAACCAUAAACUUCCUGCAGUCCCACUAGACUUGCACGAGAAUAAAGGAAGAAUUGGAUCCAAGAGCAUUAACUCCAAGAUCAUACAGUAGGAGCUGGGGAUGUGCCAUGUUUGGUAGAAUGCUUGCCCAACAUGCAAACUACAUGCACAGGGUCAAUCCAAACAGGAAGAGGACGUAUGACACACCUGCCGUGCCAACACGAGUGAGGUGGAGUCAGGAAGAUUACAAGCUCAAAACCAUCUUCUCCUUUUGCAGUGAGUUCUAAGCCAGCCUGGACUACACCAGGCUGUCUCUAAUCAAACAAGAAAUAAUUUUUGAAAGACGAUGUAGGUUAUUUCCAGCAGGUAUGUUGAGAGCUGCUCUGCCAGGCUACAGAAGAUCUGAUGGUUAAGGUAAAAUGUGUGCCAGAUGUGUAUCACAGCCGGCAGCCGGUAAUGGCCAACCUCGCUGCCCUUACUGUUUCUGGGGACCCAUUCUGGUCACUCCAGCUUGGGUCAAGGGUGAAGUGCUGGGACCUGUAUGCUUCAGGAUGAAGUUCUCAUCCCCAGAUUUCUCCCUGUAGAUUGAUUGUCUCUAGACCCGGAGUAGCAUGUAACAUUACCACCUUCUUUUAAGUCCUAGACUAAUUCUUUGAUGACAUAACCCCUUCCAAACAUCCUUUGUUUCUGAUACAUGGUGGAUAGAAGUUUUCUGCUGCCAGUGGAGUUUUAUUUUUAUAUGGCUAAAAGGAUAUAGACCCAAAAUGCCCACCGCCGCUGAUGGCAAAGGGCACUACGGUACACCUGAUCGUCUGCAAAGCCACAAGUUUUCUGAAAAUCAUUUCAACUAGCACCAAAAAAAAAGUAGUUGCAUCUGUACUCUGCAGUGGUGGCUACUGAGGGACCAGCUGUGGUCAGUACACAGUAGGACAAAGGAUGCAGAAUUUCAAAGGGACAGGGAUGCUUUCAUGUAGGCAGAGAAAAUUACUCCCUAGACUUUAGCCAGGCCCUGUGAGUUAACUGCAAACGGUUUCAUGUGCAGCCAGCAGCUCACAAUAACUGAAGAGCACAGAUGGGAAGUCCCAAGUCCAAAUUGGUCUCAGGGCUCCAGGAUAACAUUAAAAUAAGGACAAUUAUGCCUUGAGUGGUGUUUUCUAUAACCAAUUAAUUUGCCUAUCAGACCAAAAGUCCCCUCUGAGAGAACUUCUCGCCACCCCUUUGCUUACUCCCAUGCAUUUGUACGACUUCUGAAGCUGUUCUCUAAUAAACUGUCAAGAUGCCCCAGGCCCGAGCAGGACCUCUGUACUGUGCGACAAACGCAGUGGACAUCCGUACCACACAACCUCCAUCCUGCUGCGGAGGAGCCACUCGGAGCGUGCUGUGUAGACUGAUGGCAAUCCAGCAGCUGUCAUCUUCAGGAAGAUGCAAGAAAGGGAGAUCGUGCACUGUAAACUGUCAUGGAAAACGGAUGUCAUUUUAUGUCUAUUGAACCAAGUCACUUCUGGAUAGGAGCUUGGAUGCUUCUCCUUCAACUUUCUAAUGGUUUUUACGCAAAAUGAUGGCUCUUGUUGGGUUAACAUGUUAAAUGGUCCUCUGGCAAAUAGAGCCUAGACACGUCGUCUUGUCUUAGACUCUCGUGUAAACAACGCCCCCUGGAGCUCUGCAGUGCCGCUGUGGAUGCAGAAACCACACUGGGGAGACGGCUCAGGAAGUAACACUCGUUCUUAGAGCAUGAGUACCUGCAGGACGUAAGACUCGCAUGCGUGCCUGCGCUCAGUCUCUACAUGAAGAGCCAGCUUAACCUAUGUGGCAAGCUCUGGGACAAGGAGAGACAUGGACAGCAGCCAAAAAACAAUACCUGGCAUAUUCCCAUGGUCUUCAAAAACAUAUAUGCUUGGACUCAAGUACAGGCAUAUGGGCAAACACAUAUUCACACAUACACAUACCCGUGCAUGUACACGCACACACACACAUGCACACAAUUACAGAAAUGGAAAUGUAUCACUGGAUGUGCGGAUUGAAGAAAUUUAACAUAGCUGGAAAUAUUUGAAUCACUUCAAGUUGACUAUAGUAAAAUAAAGGCCUUUCUCUGCAUGCUGUAUGAGUUAGAGGUCCAAAAAUUUGAUAUCUCUCUCCUCUCUCUCCUCUCUCUCUCUCUCUCUCUCUCUCUCUCUCUCUCUCUGUUUAGUCUUUACCAAACAAAAACCUGAUAUUUAAGGCAACUAGACCCAACCAAUAUGAAGCUGACUUAGUUUAAGCAUUGUGCCAUAAACUGCCUCUAUUUCUAGAACUCUGGAGUGUUCAAAGAUAUGGAUAUGGACACCUGGAGUCAUAGACAUAGAGAUAAUGGAUUUUUGGUGGUUAUGACUUCAACACAUAGGUAGAAAAUUAAAUGUGCAAAGGACCAUCACCAGAGAGUCACCUUGGGUGUCUCUGAUGCUAAGGACAAUUAGACAUGCAGUACCCCCACUUAUGGACUGAAAGGGGAGCCUGCUGAAGCAACUGCAUAAAAUCUUGGUAUAUCCUGAGGUUCAAACAUAAGAAUUCUGCUGAAAGAGUGGCAGGACUUGCUGGCCAUGAACUAACCCAGAAAGGGCCCCCAGGGAACUUUGUCUAGGUUGUCUGCUGGGCCUGGAGGUAGGUGAGGAAGGAUGAAGAGAAGGAGAAGGUAAGCCUCCAGACUUCCGGGACCUGCUCUCUCGCUGGGGAUAACAGAUUGGGAACCAGAGAACAUGCGGGGGAUGUCGGAUACCCUAAGUGUGAUGCCAGAUACCCAGAGUGAUGACGGGAAGAGCUGUAGGAUUCCAGAAAUCUCACUCUCCAGGAGGCUUUUCCUCUCGGAGAAUUAAAACUCUUGAAAUAAGGCAAGCCGGAAAUCUGUGUCUAUUUUUUCCUAAUAUACUUCCUCCCUCAGAAGGGGAAAAAAAACAUUUGGUGAAAGAAAGUCAAAAAUACUUAUGAGUCAUUCUAAAAUAUGAACGAUUCUGAACACAAAGCAGAGACGAUCUUUCUAAUCCAUAUAUCUAAAGACUCACAAGCAUCUAAGGGUAGAAAUGUCCCUUUCCACUUUGCCAAGGGAUGGAGAAUCACUUCUUUGGUUCCUGCGCACUCCUCCCUGUCCAUGACUCCUAAACCCCGACCUCCAGCAGGGGCAUAAGUCAAAGCUACAGAAACACAAGCUGCACAGGCUCCUCUAUUUACAGUGAAAUCUAUGUGCUCUGGGUAAUUGAGAAGGGAAGCUGUUACCACCGUACUUGUCCCAGGACUUUCAUGAUCUCGCUCUCCAAGAGACACUGAGUGUUCAGAAGACCAAUUGCUUCUGCGAGCCCGUUGAUCUAAGUCUUUGUAAUGGUCAAAAAUGCUAGGGUAGUUUUAUUUUAGUCUCUCAUCAGAGUAGACUUAAUAAUAGUGAUAAAUGUAAUAGGAUCACUUUAUGCUCACCCAAUUCUUUCGGGUUUUAGAUGGAAAAGAGGCACACAUUCUAUCCCGGGUUCCUGCCUCCUUUCCGACUACGAAUCUCUCUGUUUUCAUUACAAUAGAAAAAAGUAAGUGUGAUAUAAAAAUACCAGUCAUUAAUCUUAUCAAAAAUUGAGAUUUAUAGCAGAUAUGCUAAAUGGUUUUGGUGAAGUAAUGUUGUGUGUGCGUGCAUGCGUGCGUGCGUGUGUUCAUGCACAAAGGUCUGAAGAUAACUUAGGGGAGUAAGUUCUCUCCUUCUAUUGUGUGGGUCCCAAGGAUCGAACUACAUUUGCCAGACUUCACAGCAUGUGACUUUACCUACUGGACAAAUGAUUGUCUUAGUUUAGCAUGUUUACUAAUUACUUGAUAUGUUUACACUGUACUUACUCCUUGAUUAUCAGAUAACCCCUUUGUCAGUAGUUUUUCAAAGCCUCAGGACUUUUAAAAUAGUUGUCCUCUAAACUGUAUUGCCGUCAACCCUCUGUGCGGCUUCCCUCUUUUAAAAAUGCUUUUAGAACACGAUUUCUCCUUCCAGAAGCCUCACUGCUGACUCUUUGGAAGAGAAAAGCCCAAGUCUCUAGAUGGUCCUUCAAGCUCACAGGUUAAGUUUGUGAGCAAACAUGUUUUUGAGUGUAGAAAGCCCUCACAAGUGGAAAGUGUUUUUUAAGGGUGAAAGAAUAAACUGUUUCGAGUAGGAAACAGGAAAGCAUGCGUUUUCUUCUGCCUUCCUUUUUUAACCGAAUGAUGCAGUGGAAAAGACUACACUCAAACACAAGUGUCUUAAAAGACACUCAAAAGUCCAAAGAGAUGGACGCCUUAUGUGGUACCCGUGGACCCGGAGACUGCUAGGUUGCAGUCACAGAAGGAGAACACCCACCGCUUCGCCUCUCUGGUUUUCCAGGCGCGGUAGUCACGUUAUUUUCAAUCCCCCUUGCAGUUAGCGUCUCCCCUCUGCCCUUUCUGAGCUGUGUUGUUCUUCUGCUCACUCCUUCAUCCCUGGGUAAAUGUCACGGGUUUGCUUUGAUGUUUGCUUUGUAUUGCAACAUUUUCCAUCCAGUGUUAAUGAUCUGCAUUUCCUUGUGGCCUGGGUAUAAAUUCCCACUUAGUCUAAGGGAUUCUCUUUCUUUCUUGGCACCGUCAGCUCAGGAGUUGCUCUGUGGCACCAGGGCAGACCCCACAUAUGAAGAGUCACACGUGGCAAAGCGAGGGCUCCCCGUCGCACUGGUGUGUGGUUUACUUAGCAGUCAGCCACGUGAGCUCAAAAUGUCACAUUGCUCAUUUCUAACCCCAUUGAGUUUUGAUGAAAAAAAAAUGCACCACCAGCUGGCAAGUGGAUGAGCAGUCAUGAGCCCUGACAGCUCUUCCAGAGCAUCCAGGUUCGAUUCCUACUAGCCAUGGGUCACCUCAAGACCAUGUGUAACCCCGGUCCCAGGGAUCUGGCUCCCUCUUCUAGCCUCUCCAGGCACCAGGCACGCAUGUGGUGCGCAGACAGAUAUGAAAUAGUGGUCGCAGUGGUUCAUUUUAAUUGUCAACGGACACAAUCUGGAACCUGGGAAGAGCCUCACUGAGGGACUGUCUAGUUGGUAGCCUGGUGAGCACGUCUUUGGAGGAUUCUCAUGAUCACGUGUAGCCUGACGGGAAAGGACAUAAAGUGACCAGUUCUCUCAAGCACCCGGUGCUGUGAUCUCCCUACCAUGACGGAACUCUGAACGAAAAUAAACUCUUCCUAAAUUACUCGUGUAUUUUAUCAAAGCAACCAGAAGUAAAAAAUUAAAAUGCUAGUUAAGAACGCAGGAUUGUAAAACUGGGUUUGAAGUUGUAGCUUAGCCACUCGGCAUGUCACCAUGACCGGGACAAAGUGACUUUUCAUCUCUCUCCACCUUUAAUGAGUUCAUUUGUGAAGUGGUUGGAGAACCUGGCUUACAGGAUUGAAGUGUUCAGUGAAGUAAGGACUCGGAAAAUAGGACUUAUUUGUAGUUUUCCCACGUUCAUUUCUUUCCAUAAAACUAUUGAAGCUCGGAAGCUUGGAAAUUUGUGUCCAUGAGUUAAAUCAGCUGCUGAAAGGAAAAGAAUUCAACACCAGUUAUCUUUCUGCCCCAUACCACACACGGUAUACUGGACUGAAAUACCCAGACUGGGGCAUAUUUUAGGCAAACGUAAUGGUGUAGAAAGAAUUAGUGCAUUCAUAUUCAGCAUAGCCUAAUGUGACCCUCUGCCUUCUUCUGAGGUUCAGGGUUUUUUGAAAAGCUAUGCUUGGGUUUCUAUUUUAUUAUUUUUAAUUAAAUUCAUAUCUGACAUCCAUAAUCAUAUUCUAUUAUCUACAUCUUCUGAAAUGUAGGAUAUUAAUAAUAUGAACAUCAUGAAUUUCUCAAAAAUCUUAUAAUUAGAAAAUUGGCCAUCGCUUUAAUGCUAUCUUUAAAACCAAGCGCUGGCUUACCUCACCUCUUGGUCAGGAGUUUGGCUACCCUGAAACUCCCACAGCAUCUAACUGUCCUUUCACUCUAAAUGAUGCAUUUCCGGUUGGACUCGGAGGAGUUCUGCCUUCUCACAGGCUGAGCUAACCUGAGGGGGGCUCGUUAGCCUGAGGUGAAGAGCCUCCAGAUCAGUGGUGCACGGUGCAGACGAGGCCUCCGGGGCAUGGCUGGACCUCAUAAACAAGUGAGCAAAUAAACGACAGGUGGAGGAAGGCUGGAGGCGGGGCUUGUGGGAGCUUCCUGGUG